rnacentral:lncRNA from 1 species
UUCUUAAUUCUUUUCCUAGACUCUUGUCCUAAAAUUAGACUUGUCCUUGCUAUUUUUGAAUUUAUCCUAACAAGAGAAGGAAGAGACUAAUUAGACAAUAGGGAGAAUGUGUAAGAAAGAAGAGAUAAGAGCAAUUUUCUAAAUGGAUCAAAUCUCCGAUGCAGCCCCCUUUAAAUAGUUAACGACGGGUUGCCUUCGAAAAUGAUUCGCGCCC